rnacentral:lncRNA from 1 species
GUCGCAAGAACCAGGAACAAAGCAGCUGCCAGAUACACAAUCUUAGUCGUACGUACCUUGACGGAUGCCAUGAACUCGAGAAUAUCGCUACUAUUUUGUUUUCGCAAGGAGAGGAUGAGAGGAUUACGUAUGCUUGUAGCGAAUGUAGAUAGCACAGUGAACCUCUCAGGCGUGUAUUUAUACAAUACAUCCUACACUACUAUUUAUUAGUGUUGAGAUCUUAG